CCCUUAGAUGUCCGGGGCCGCACGCGCGCUACACUGAAGGAAUCAGCGUGGCUUUCUCCCUGACCCGAAAGGGUUGGGAAACCCGUUGAAUCUCCUUCGUGAUAGGGAUUGGGGCUUGAAAUUGUUCCCCAUGAACGAGGAAUUCCCAGUAAGCGCGAGUCAUAAGCUCGCGUUGAUUACGUCCCUGCCCUUUGUACACACCGCCCGUCGCUCCUACCGAUUUCGAGUGGUCCGGUGAAUCUUUCGGACUGCGCGCGGCCUUGAGUCGUGUCGCGGAAAGUCAGGUAAACCUUAUCACUUAGAGGAAGGAGAAGUCGUAACA
rnacentral:rRNA from 1 species